CGGUGUUUAACUGGCGUGAUGUGGGACGUCCUACCGGUGGGCUUAGCCUCGCGAGGGGCGGCCCAACUAAUAUCCCGUCGCGGUGCUCUUUACUGAGUGUCGAGUCGGGCCGGUACGUUUACUUUGAACAAAUUAGAGUGCUUAAAGCAGGCUAUCCUCGCCUGAAUACUGCGUGCAUGGAAUAAUGGAAUAGGACCUCGGUUCUAUUUUGUUGGUUUUCGGAACCCCGAGGUAAUGAUUAAUAGGGACAGAUGGGGGCAUUCGUAUUGCGACGUUAGAGGUGAAAUUCUUGGAUCAUCGCAAGACGGACAGAAGCGAAAGCAUUUGCCAAAAAUGUUUUCAUUAAUCAAGAACGAAAGUUAGAGGUUCGAAGGCGAUCAGAUACCGCCCUAGUUCUAACCAUAAACGAUGCCAGCUAGCGAUCCGCCGAAGUUCCUCCGAUGACUCGGCGGGCAGCUUCCGGGAAACCAAAGCUUUUGGGUUCCGGGGGAAGUAUGGUUGCAAAGCUGAAACUUAAAGGAAUUGACGGAAGGGCACCACCAGGAGUGGAGCCUGCGGCUUAAUUUGACUCAACACGGGAAACCUCACCAGGCCCAGACACCGGAAGGAUUGACAGAUUGAUAGCUCUUUCUUGAUUCGGUGGGUGGUGGUGCAUGGCCGUUCUUAGUUGGUGGAGCGAUUUGUCUGGUUAAUUCCGAUAACGAACGAGACUCUAGCCUGCUAAAUAGGCGUACCUUAUGGUAUCGCGAAGGCCCCCGGCUUCGGCCGGUGGGUUUUUACUACCAACGUACAAACAAAUCUUCUUAGAGGGACAGGCGG
rnacentral:rRNA from 1 species